CUAUUGGCAGGGUUUACCUCCAGACCCACACACUCUCUGAGUCCAUCUAUUGGCAGGGUUUACCUCCAGACCCACACACUCUCUGAGUCCAUCUAUUGACAGGGUUUACCUCCAGACCCACACACUCGCUGAGUCCAUCUAUUGGCAGGGUUUACCUCCAGACCCACACAUGAUGUUUAUGGUGCUGUCAAAGUGACCAUGUGGUCCAGUAGAUGGAGUGGUUGUGGUGGUAUAAAGGCCCAUAGCUACACAGACUGGACACAUUAAUCAGUGUCCAAUUUACACAGCACCAUCCAGAGGAGAAGAUGGGUUCUGAACUUCUGAAUGCAAACAUAAAGGGCAUCUGUUAGGCAUUGGGUUUAACAGACCUAGGGCUAGGCUAGACGAAGGGUUUAACAGACCUAGGGCUAGGCUAGACGAAGGGUUUAACAGACCUAGGGCUAGGCUAGACGAAGGGUUUACCAGACCUAGGUUUAGAGGAAGGGAUCCCCAUGACAACAUCAACUGAAUUACAAUAUGAACAUCUAAAAUGGUGGGUAGCCUGGAGAGGAGGAGGAGGGGGGGUGAAUGGAGAAAUUAAUGAACAGGGUAGAGAGAGCCCAUCCCACCCUCACCAGGGCCUCUCGUCUCUGAAGUCCGCGCCCGCCCCGUUUCUCUCUCUCUCCUCUCCCUGCCUGAUGCUGCCAGCCAGCAGGGAAACUAGGUCACUGAACUCUGUCUGCUCUCUGUUUUUUUGUAUAUAAAUUAAAGCCAAAAGGCUGAACUCUCUCACUCCCUCUCUAGCCGGUCAGCGGUCGCCACAAAGCUUUUCACCAGAGGGUUAGAGUAAAAAACACACAAGCAGGCACACACAAACAGGCACACACAAACAGGCACACACACACACAAACAGGCACACACACACAAACAGGCACAAACAAACAGGCACACACAUACACAAACAGGCACACACACACAAACAGGCAUAUACACACACAAACAGACAGGCACACACAAACAGGCACGCAUGCAGACAGACAGGGUAAAACACUAAAACAUGCAUGUGGCACUCACACACACAGUAAACAAACCCAGAUAUCCAGUAUAAUCCUCUCUGGCUAAAUAUGUUUGGGGUUUGUAAGGAGAGGGUUAAAAUAAGUAAUGUUGUGCAGGAGGCUGCAGUGCAGGAGGCUGCAGUGCAGGAGGCUGCAGUGCAGGAGGCUGCAGUGCAGGAGGCUGCAGUGCAGGAGGC
ensembl:lncRNA